UACAGAGGUCUCAAGCGUUGUUCGGAUUCAUUGGGCGUAAAGGGUGCGUAGGUGGCGCCGUAAGUGGGGUGUGAAAUCUCGGGGCUUAACUCCGAAACUGCAUUCCAUACUGCGGUGCUUGAGGACUGGAGAGGAGACUGGAAUUCAUGGUGUAGCAGUGAAAUGCGUAGAGAUCAUGAGGAAGACCAGUGGCGAAGGCGGGUCUCUGGACAGUUCCUGACACUGAGACACGAAGGCCAGGGGAGCAAACGGG
rnacentral:rRNA from 1 species